rnacentral:misc_RNA from 1 species
CCUGCAAUCUCAAUUUAUGUCGUUGAGAAGCUCAACUAAGCCUUACUCUCGACGAUCCUCUCUCUCUCCAAUCAAGGCCUCUGUGUCUGAAAAACCAUCUAUAGGUAUCUCGUCGCCAACUGUUUCACCAACUGAUUCUUCCAAACUUCCGCUUCUCAAAAUCCCCGGCGAUUAUGGCCUCCCUUUUAUCGGUCCCAUCAAUGAUCGACUUGAUUAUUUCUAUAAACAAGGCAAAGAAGAGUACUU